rnacentral:rRNA from 1 species
AGUUCCUUCGGGAAUGGAUUAGUGGCGAACGGGUGAGGAACACGUGAGAAACCUGCCUCUCAUUCUGGGAUAACACCGGGAAACCGGUGCUAAUACCGGAUACUCCGUCUUGGCGGCAUCGCCGAGCCGGGAAAAAAUUUUGAUGAAAGAUGGUCUCGCGGCCUAUCAGCUAGUUGGUGAGGUAAAGGCUCACCAAGGCGACGACGGGUAGCCGGCCUGAGAGGGCGACCGGCCACACUGGGACUGAGACACGGCCCAGACUCCUACGGGAGGCAGCAGUAGGGAAUAUUGGGCAAUGGGCGCAAGCCUGACCCAGCGACGCCGCGUGAGGGAUGAAGGUCUUCGGAUUGUAAACCUCUUUCAGUAGGGAAGAAGCGAAAGUGACGGUACCUAAAGAAGAAGCACCGGCUAACUAUGUGCCAGCAGCCGCGGUAAUACAUAGGGUGCAAGCGUUGUCCGGAAUUAUUGGGCGUAAAGAGCUCGUAGGUCGUUUGUCGCGUCGAUUGUGAAAAUCUGAGGCUCAACCUCAGACCUGCAGUCGAUACGGGCAAACUAGAGUGUGGUAGGGGAGACUGGAAUUCCUGGUGUAGCGGUGGAAUGCGCAGAUAUCAGGAGGAACACCAAUGGCGAAGGCAGGUCUCUGGGCCAUAACUGACACUGAGGAGCGAAAGUGCGGGGAGCGAACAGGAUUAGAUACCCUGGUAGUCCGCACCGUAAACGGUGGGCACUAGUUGUGGGAACCUUCCACGGUUUCCGCGACGCAGCUAACGCAUUAAGUGCCCCGCCUGGGGAGUACGACCGCAAGAUUAAAACUCAAAGGAAUUGACGGGGCCCCGCACAAGCAGCGGAGCAUGCGGCUUAAUUCGACGCAACGCGAAGAACCUUUACCAAGGCUUGACAUAUAGCGAAAAGNNG